rnacentral:rRNA from 1 species
GGCGCACGGGUGCGUAACGCGUAUGCAAUCUACCUUAUACAGGGGAAUAGCCCAGAGAAAUUUGGAUUAAUGCCCCAUAGUAUUAUUGAAUCGCAUGGUUUAAUAAUUAAAGUUCCAACGGUAUAAGAUGAGCAUGCGUCCCAUUAGUUAGUUGGUAAGGUAACGGCUUACCAAGACAAUGAUGGGUAGGGGUCCUGAGAGGGAGAUCCCCCACACUGGUACUGAGACACGGACCAGACUCCUACGGGAGGCAGCAGUGAGGAAUAUUGGUCAAUGGGCGCAAGCCUGAACCAGCCAUGCCGCGUGCAGGAAGAAGCAUCUAUGGUGUGUAAACUGCUUUUAUACAGGAAGAAACAACGCUACGUGUAGCGUCUUGACGGUACUGUAAGAAUAAGGACCGGCUAACUCCGUGCCAGCAGCCGCGGUAAUACGGAGGGUCCAAGCGUUAUCCGGAAUCAUUGGGUUUAAAGGGUCCGUAGGCGGCCUUAUAAGUCAGUGGUGAAAUCUCCUAGCUCAACUAGGAAACUGCCAUUGAUACUGUAAGGCUUGAAUUUUUGUGAAGAACUAGAAUAUGUAGUGUAGCGGUGAAAUGCUUAGAUAUUACAUGGAAUACCAAUUGCGAAGGCAGGUUACUAACAAACGAUUGACGCUGAUGGACGAAAGCGUGGGGAGCGAACAGGAUUAGAUACCCUGGUAGUCCACGCCGUCAACGAUGGAUACUAGCUGUUCGGAU